AGCGAUUUGUCUGGUUCAUUCCGUUAACGAACGAGACCACAGCCUACUAAAUAGUACGUGUUAUGGUAACAUAGUAUGAGACUUCUUAGAGGGACAUUUCGGGUUUACGAAAGGAAGUUUGUGGCAAUAACAGGUCUGUGAUGCCCUUAGAUGUUCUGGGCCGCACGCGCGCUACACUGACGACUUCAGCAAGUUUUUUAGCUUUGCUAAAUUUCCUUGGCCGGAAGGUCUGGGUAAUCUUUUAAAAGGGCGUCGUGAUGGGGCUAGAUUCUUGCAAUUAUUAAUCUCCAACGAGGAACC
rnacentral:rRNA from 1 species